rnacentral:rRNA from 1 species
GACGGAGGGUGCUAGCGUUGUUCGGAAUGACUGGGCGUAAAGGGCGCGUAGGCGGCCUGGAAAGUCGGGUGUGAAAGCCCGGGGCUCAACCCCGGAACGGCAUCCGAUACUGCCAGGCUGGAGACCGGGAGAGGAGGGUGGAAUACCCAGUGUAGAGGUGAAAUUCGUAGAUAUUGGGUGGAACACCGGUGGCGAAAGCGGCUCUCUGGCCCGGAUCUGACGCUGAGGCGCGAAAGCGUGGGGAGCAAAC